GCUGUAGUGGUGAAGUGGUUAAGCACUUGGCUGCUAAUCAAAAGGUCUGUGGUUCAAACCCACCAGCUGCU
rnacentral:tRNA from 1 species